AGAGUUUGAUUAUGGCUCAGAACGAACGCUGGCGGCGUGCCUAAGACAUGCAAGUCGUACGGUAAGGCCCCUUCGGGGGUACACGAGUGGCGCACGGGUGAGUAGCACGUGGGUAAUCUGCCCUCUCGUCUGGGACAACUCCGGGAAACUGGAGCUAAUACCGGAUGAGCCCACAGGGUCUUCGGACCCAGCGGGAAAAGAUGGCCUCUGCUUGCAAGCUAUCGCGAGAGGAUGAGCCCGCGCCCCAUUAGCUAGUUGGUGGGGUAAUGGCCUACCAAGGCAACGAUGGGUAGCUGGUCUGAGAGGACGAUCAGCCACACUGGAACUGAGACACGGUCCAGACUCCUACGGGAGGCAGCAGUGGGGAAUAUUGGACAAUGGGCGCAAGCCUGAUCCAGCCAUGCCGCGUGUGUGAAGAAGGCCUUCGGGUUGUAAAGCACUUUCACUUGGGAAGAAAAGUACACCGUUAAUAGCGGUGUGCCGUGACAUUACCUUGAGAAGAAGCACCGGCUAACUCCGUGCCAGCAGCCGCGGUAAUACGGAGGGUGCGAGCGUUAAUCGGAAUUACUGGGCGUAAAGCGCGCGUAGGCGGUUUGUUAAGUCAGCUGUGAAAGCCCCGGGCUCAACCUGGGAACUGCAGUUGAUACUGGCCGACUAGAGUACGAGAGNNNGNNNUAGAAUUCCAUGUGUAGCGGUGAAAUGCGUAGAUAUAUGGAGGAAUACCGGUGGC
rnacentral:rRNA from 1 species